rnacentral:rRNA from 1 species
UACGUAGGCAGCAAGCGUUGUUCGGAUUUACUGGGCGUAAAGGGUGUGUAGGCGGUUGUUUAAGUUUGGUGUGAAAUCUCCCGGCUCAACUGGGAGGGUGCGCCGAAUACUGAAUGACUUGGAGUGCGGGAGAGGUGAGUGGAAUUCCUGGUGUAGCGGUGAAAUGCGUAGAUAUCAGGAAGAACACCAGUGGCGAAGGCGGCUCACUGGCCCGGUACUGACGCUGAGGCGCGAAAGCGUGGGGAGCAAACAGG